rnacentral:lncRNA from 1 species
UUAGAGAGGAAGAGUAAGCUUCUAUUAGACUUUGUCAAAAUUCUUGCUUCUAUUUUGAGUUACUGCACAAAUGAUUUACUGCAUACAAGAUUAGUCCACCUUUGUAUGGGUUAAGGUGGCAUUCUCAUUUUUAAAUCCCAGUUGUUUUUUUUUGUGGUUUAUUGGAUGAAUGUUAGUUUCUUUGACACACUUUUCGUUUUUCUUUGCUUUAUUUUCAUUUACUCCGUUGCAUUAUUGCACGUUGUUCUUUUGUAAUCUGAAUAUCAGUUUCUUAUUUCUUUGGUUUGUUUUCGUGUUGCUUUUUGCUUUGAUCGAUAUUUGCAAAACCAGCCAGGCUGACCCGGAUCCGGCUAGGCGAGCCCCAUUUUGGCCGGUUAUGGGGUCUAGUGAUAAUCAAUUAUGGUUUGUUGAUAUUUGAAAGAAAAAACAAUCAAGUAAUUAUUUAUCGAGUGCCAUUUGAGAAGUCUAGAAACUGUUUGGCCUUGACUAUUUUUUUUUUUUGCAUAGAUUUGAGAUUUUUUUGAACUAUAGGAAUUUUUAAUAUUUUAUUAUUUUUAUAAGGCCUAGGCUCUAUGAAAACCAAAUGAAGCCACACUAUUAUAAAGCAACAUGAAAACGAAAGAAAAAUAGUGCAUUUAGCAUAAGGAAGUUGAGUAGCUUAUCUCUGUAAUUUUAGAAACUGAAUAAACUAAUAGAAAGUUAUAUUUGCAAUGGUUUAGCAUAAGCCAACGGUUUAGCAAAAGACACAAGUCCCAACAACCUACAUGGAUGAGAAAGAUAAUCAGCAUACCCAAUUGGGUUAUUUGAUAGCAACAGCGUUAUGCAUGCUGCAUAAAUCACCUCAAUACUAUUAGACUCAACACACUACUACGGGUUUUGUGGCAAUUUAAAGGCCUCAUUGAAGUAUGUAAAACUAUAACUAUUGUGAUAUUGUAUUUCACUGGGAGUGUGGUCCAAGGGGACCAAAGAGGUAUGCUUCGUAAUGCCCAUGACUCACCCGGGGGUUACGGUCUAGGCUCAAGAUGGAGUCUAAACCCUCUAGCCUUGGGCAUAAGGCAGAAUUGUGGAGGGUUUGUAGAGUUAUCCAGCUCGGUAUGAAGCCUUAAAACCCUAUAGCUCUGGGCAUACAAGAGAAUUGUGGAGGGUUUGUAGGAUUAUCCCUUAAUGAGGUGGAGAGAUGCUUAGGAUGGUUAGUUGGCUAGGAGACUAUUAGGCUUCCUGUGUGGUUGGUGAGCUUUAAGCUAAUUCCUCAUCAUUGCCAUCACUACAUAUGAUAGCCGUUGUUGGGAAGUGACAUGUAGGGGUAUGAUGUGUAUGUGCUGAAAAGAGGACCCCAAUGCACCAUUGCGAUAGUGUGCAAUGGAAGAUGUUAAGAAUACAUCCCUCAGACACAAUCGCUUUUUCUGCUCUAAGAUGGAAUUAUAUUAGUAAAUUUGCAUUUAUUAUUCUUCUGAUUCAUUAAGGUAGCUUUGAAUUGGUUAGUUACGCUUUUUAUCUACUUUUUUUUAGUGUGUUAUUUGUGAAAUGAGAAUAUAAGGGAAAGGUUCAAUCAGAUGGCUAUGCCUAACAGUGGUGAAAUUCAUCCAUUCCGACAUUAGCGUUAACAAAACUCCUCCUUCUAUGCAUUUUAUAAAAGAAAUAGAAAAAGAUAAAGAAAUAACUCUUUAUCUUUUUCUAUUCUACAGUGGAAGACUAAUUGUAUUGCCGAUUACUGCGUUACUGUGACCAAAAGAUUUAUCUGGCCCAUUAGAGUAAGGGAGUAUGCCAAUAGUUGAGCAUUAGCUUUAAAGGCUGUCGAUAUGCUGCAUUGAAAGUAGGCUGGUUGAUAGAACUGAGAACUCUUUCGUGAGUAGCUCUUUAGAGGUCUCAAGGUGUGAGCCGUGAGUUCUCACUGUGGUUCCGAGUUCUGAGUUGAGCUGUUGGAUCACACCCCUCUGUAUGAACAAAAUCUAUUGGUGGAUGUGGACCAAAACCACUUGACCCCAAACCCUGGAACAACGGCUCUUGAGAGCCCCCUAUUAGUCUUUGUUGAGCAUAGGGCCUUACAAGAAAUGAAAGACCUUUUUAAACAAUAAUUAUUAUGCACAUAAUCAGGUAUUUUAUUUACACAUCCUUACAGGGAACCGUCGUGUUUCAACUUUGAAUAUUCAAAUAGAAAAUAGAAAUCAUGAUAUGACAUGAAUAUAUUGGAGCUGCGAUAAAAAAUAGAAUAUGUGGUUAGCUACAUGGCUAUAUCUGCAUUGCAUUUACUUAGAUAUUUAAUCUAAUAAAUAUAGCUCUUUCAAAUAAGUCAAAAUAGAAAACAAAAAAAUAUCAAAAUUUCUUUAUGUGAAAUGAAAUAAGUGCUAAGCUAAGUGUUCACUCUUUUUAAUGCUCCUGAUUUUUGGGGUUGACCGCCCAUAUAGGACCGGUCACGUUUGAUCGGAUGGAUCCCAGCCCCCUCUUUGAUUUGAGGUUCCGAUAUGUCUGCCUCAGCAUUUGGCAUGACUAUGCCAAUCGUUAAGGUAGCUUUGCAUUUGUUAGUUAUGCCUUUUUUUUAGGUGUUAUUUGUGAAAUGAGAAUAUUAGGGGAUCUUGACCAAGAACUUAUGUAAGUUAUUUUAUUAGUGAAAACUUGCGUCCAUUUUAUUUAAUUUUACUCCAUUUUUGUGUUGGAAUUGCUGAGAAAAUGUGAAAUUCGCAUUAUAUAAGAGCUCUAGUGCUGUAAUACUAUGCUUUUUCAUCAUAUUUUCAAUCUCUUGCUUUCUAAAGGGUUCUCUAUUGAAUUUUUUUAUUAUACUUUCUGCUGAUAGAUUCCAAUUUAAAGAGUGGCUUCUAUAGAUGUGAAGGAAAAUAAUUUAUGUUAGAGUUUGAAAAGGUGAUAUAUGAUGAUUUAGUCAGUGAAUCAUAUAAAACAAUUAUAGUAUCAAAUAUUUACUGUAUAAGCUCAGAAUAUGUAUGUUAUUGUGUCGAGAAUAAAAUGAUCAUCAGGCUCUAGAGCAUAAAUGUCGGUGGCAAUUAUUGGCUUUUUCUAUAAUUGUAAAUCUGUAUUUUCUCUGGCAAAUAUUGUGCAAGGUUAUUUAAACUGCAUAAU